UACGAAGGGUGCAAGCGUUACUCGGAAUUACUGGGCGUAAAGCGUGCGUAGGUGGUUUGUUAAGUCUGUUGUGAAAGCCCCGGGCUCAACCUGGGAAUGGCAAUGGAUACUGGCAAGCUAGAGUGCGGUAGAGGGUAGUGGAAUUCCCGGUGUAGCGGUGAAAUGCGUAGAGAUCGGGAGGAACACCAGUGGCGAAGGCGGCUACCUGGACCAGCACUGACACUGAGGAGCGAAAGCGUGGGGAGCGAACAGG
rnacentral:rRNA from 1 species